GAUCCCGUAGCUCAGGUGGAUAGAGCAACAGUUUCCUAAACUGUGUGUCGCGCGUUCGAGUCGCGCCGGGGUCACCA
rnacentral:tRNA from 3 species